rnacentral:rRNA from 1 species
UACGGGGGGGGGCAAGCGUUGUUCGGAAUUACUGGGCGUAAAGGGCUCGUAGGCGGCCAACUAAGUCAUACGUGAAAUCCCUCGGCUUAACCGGGGAACUGCGUCUGAUACUGGAUGGCUUGAGUUCGGGAGAGGGAUGCGGAAUUCCAGGUGUAGCGGUGAAAUGCGUAGAUAAUCUGGAGGAACACCGGUGGCGAAGGCGGCAUCCUGGACCGAUACUGACGCUGAGGAGCGAAAGCCAGGGGAGCAAACGGGGA